CGAAGGUAAGGACAGUGCCUCUGGAGCAAUGCUGGGAGAGAAGGAGCCCUGAGCAUCCCGGGAAGGGUCGGCGAGCACACGCAGAUUCUCGGAGGGCCACACCGUGUCCUUGGAGGGUGGAGGUCACCAAGAAGAGAAUGAGGCCGGGAUACCCAAACCCAGAGGGGAGGUCGGCUUCAGCCUUCUAGAAGACAGGAGAGAAGGAAAGCGCGUGCGUGCGUGCACGUCCACCUGGGGUCCGUACUGCUUCUUCCGCUGGUAGCUGUGGCGCCUUCAGCGUAAGACGGGAGUCUUCUGGGCCCCGAGUCUCUCAUCUGUGGAGCGGGGCUGAGACCGCGGCGCCUGUCUCUUGGGUGAGCUGGUGAGGAUAAAAUACUACAAGCUGCGGGAAUGACAUGCUACCUGAGAGCUGUGAGAGUAACAAAGCAAAGAUAAAACUCAAACUCAGUGAGAACAAAAAGCAGACUGAGAGGGCUUCUUGUCCUCCAGGCAGACGGAGCCAUCAGGCUGUAUGUCGAGCGAUGUUAAAGAGCAGCAGAGAGGCAGCAGAGGAGGCUGGGCUGCAACAGCAUUCACAGGACCGGAUGACAUCGCUGUGAACCAAGCCAGUGAUCAGACCACAGGCUCCAGACUGUCACCUGCCCAAAAGUCAGCUCCGGGAGGAUUUGCCAGAUCAACACGGGGGUGUCAAAGCAUCAUGCUUCUGUUGCAAAUGUCACCUUUCCCACUGAUUAACUUUGAAAUCCAAGCAUUCUCAGCUGCAGGGAAAGGUUGAUGGAGGUUAUUCAUUUAUUUUUAAAAAUUCUUUCAAUACACAGCCAAUUUUGAACUAAAAAUCAGAAUUAUCCUUCUGAAUCUCGCAUUCUAAUGCUCCUCCCGGAUCGCCCACUUUCUUCCACGCUGCAGAUUUCUUUGGUCAUCGCACAAAACCUGAGGCCGUGCUGCUGGAUGUGUGGUGUGCUCGGGCGUGGGUGCAUGGGGGGCCUUCAGGGUCAGGAUUUUUGUGUGCACGCGUUUUUUCCCCAGGAAGAAGGUCCAGGGCUUUCAAAACUUCCUCUCCAGGGGAUCUCUGAGGUCCCUUCCCCUCGUGUAAAAGCACAAAUAGAGAGCAUGUGACGUGGUUCUGCAUGGAGGUGUCGUUUCUGGUAAGGCCGAGAGGUGGCAGGGUAACCACCAGCCUGCAGCGGCCCCAUUUUCCCGACCGGAGAGAAGCCCCGUGAAAGGAGAUCCUGUCUGUAACCUCGCUUCCUCUUGCACAGACUGUGGAUACAGGGCCCAUCAAACCGCCCUGAAACAUCCCUGGAGGGGGAGAGCAAGGCUGAAGGGGCAGCCUGGGGUUUUAAAGGUCACAAACAUCCAGAGACAACGUUUGGUAAGUGUUUCUGGGGGCGUUGAGCACCACGCCAGAAAUGCACAGAGCUCAAUCAUUGGCAGAAUCAAAAGCACUUAUAAAACCGAUGAUAAUUUCCCAAGCUAUGAUUAACACUUGGUUUUACCACAAAGUAUCACUGUUCAAAGACGCUAUAAACUGCCUGAAGAAAUGACUUCUGAACAGAAAAAGACCAGUUUCUUUGCAUCAGCACCGAAAGAUCUCUUUCAGUUCUUCCACUUCGUGGGGGUUAAAAAUAACAGAAAAAGGGGAAGUUGCCUCAUGUAGGUAGAUUCAGAGGAUUUUUAUUUUGAUAGUUAAGUAUCACUUUCAUUUUCUGUGAAAGUAUGAGAAGCAGGGAUCUUUGCUUGCAAAUUCUUAACCAGAUGCCCACUGGAUAACAUUUUCUACUUUAAGCAUAUCUAGCCAAUUCAAAUAUAAGUAUUUAAAGAAGCAGAUGCUGGGUUUCAUAUAGCUGAGCACAGUGAACUUUCUCAAGGCAAACUCACUUGUUUAAUGGUAUAUGUGAUGUGAUAACCUAUAGUUCUUAGUGAUGAAAUUAAGCUUGUUUAUAUCUUUAAAAGCAAUCAUUUGGUGGGCUGAGAUGAAACCUAUUUUUGCCUAUCAUUUCCAUUCCUUUAAGAAGUUUCCAUAAAAUUCAUAAUUAUUAGGGGACAGAAAGCAAAUAUGCAGGGUUUCCAGCU
ensembl:lncRNA